rnacentral:rRNA from 1 species
GACGAACGCUGGCGGCAUGCUUAACACAUGCAAGUCGUACGGUAAGGCCCUUUCGGGGGUACACGAGUGGCGAACGGGUGAGUAACACGUGAGUAACCUGCCCACAACUUUGGGAUAACGCUAGGAAACUGGUGCUAAUACUGGAUAUGUGCUCCUGCUGCAUGGUGGGGGUUGGAAAGCUCCGGCGGUUGUGGAUGGACUCGCGGCCUAUCAGCUUGUUGGUGGGGUAGUGGCCUACCAAGGCGGCGACGGGUAGCCGGCCUGAGAGGGUGACCGGCCACAUUGGGACUGAGAUACGGCCCAGACUCCUACGGGAGGCAGCAGUGGGGAAUAUUGCACAAGGGGCGCAAGCCUGAUGCAGCAACGCCGCGUGCGGGAUAACGGCCUUCGGGUUGUAAAACGCUUUCAGCAGGGACGAAGCUUUUUGUGACGGUACCUGCAGAAGAAGCACCGGCUAACUACGUG